CUGAAGGACUGUGAACUUGCAGGAAGUGGAAGUCAAGUGGCAAGCUAGGAGUGGGUCGAACGUUCUUAGUGGAGGCAGUAUUUAAGGUGAGAUUGAAACUUGACGCCAUUUUUCCCAUGCAAUCUUCUUCUUCCUCAAACUCCAACUUUCUGGAAACUCAAAUCCUCCUCCUUCUCUCUAAACUUCCCAACCUUCUCUCUAAAUUUCUAACCUUCAUUCAUUCUCCGAUCACUUACAUUCACUCAAGAUUCUUGCUACCG
rnacentral:lncRNA from 1 species